GAUGAACGCUAGCUACAGGCUUAACACAUGCAAGUCGAGGGGCAGCGGGUUGAAAGCUUGCUUUUCAAUGCCGGCGACCGGCGCACGGGUGCGUAACGCGUAUCAAACCUGCCUCAUACUCCGGGGAUAGCCUUGCGAAAGUAAGAUUAAUACCCGAUGUUAUUAGUUUGCCGCAUGGUGGAUUAAUCAAAGAUUUAUCGGUAUGAGAUGGUGAUGCGUCCGAUUAGGUAGUAGGCGGGGUAACGGCCCACCUAGCCUUCGAUCGGUAGGGGUUCUGAGAGGAAGGUCCCCCACACUGGAACUGAGACACGGUCCAGACUCUACGGGAGGCAGCAGUGAGGAAUAUUGGUCAAUGGACGGAAGUCUGAACCAGCCAAGUAGCGUGCAGGAUGACGGCCCUCCGGGUUGUAAACUGCUUUUAGUUGGGAAUAAAAAAAGGGACGUGUCCCUUAUUGUAUGUACCUUCAGAAAAAGGACCGGCUAAUUCCGUGCCAGCAGCCGCGGUAAUACGGAAGGUCCAGGCGUUAUCCGGAUUUAUUGGGUUUAAAGGGAGCGUAGGCGGAUUGUUAAGUCAGCGGUUGAAGGGUGUGGCUCAACCAUACAUUGCCGUUGAAACUGGCGAUCUUGAGUGCAGACAGGGAUGCCGGAAUUCGUGGUGUAGCGGUGAAAUGCUUAGAUAUCACGAAGAACUCCGAUCGCGAAGGCAGGUGUCCGGGCUGCAACUGACGCUGAGGCUCGAAAGUGUGGGUAUCAAACAGGAUUAGAUACCCUGGUAGUCCACACAGUAAACGAUGUAUACUCGCGGUUUGCGAUAGACAGUAAAGUCGCCAAGGCGAAAGCAUUAAGUAUACCACCUGGGGAGUACGGCCGGCAAACGGGUGAAAACUCAAAAGGGAAUUUGACGGGGGGGGCCCCG
rnacentral:rRNA from 2 species